AUAUGCAAUGCCGGUAAUCCAUAAUAUGACUCUUUCCAUUUCAGGACCUAGGGAGCUCACUGGUGCUGUUGAUUUAAUAAGUCAGUACAAAUUGCAGCCGCACCAUGAUUUCUUUUGCAAGAGGCCUUUGCCCUUUCAAUCUCAGAUACACAUUACCUUCACAAUGUUGUGGGGGACACUGAAAUUCGGAAAGGAGAAGGAAUGAAGCUAGAUCAACUCGUUUAGAAUACUUAAGGGAUAGGCAUGCUUAUAUUCAGCCCUUUGAUAUGGAAACACUGGGGCAAGCAUUUCAGCUUCGAGAAACUGCUCCAGUAGAUUUACCCUCUGCAGAAAAAGGCAUUACCGGGCAAACCGAAAAGUGAGUCUAAGGACAGAGAGAAAAAACAUAAAAAGCACAAAGACAAAGAUAAAGACAGGGAGCAUAAGAAGCACAAACAUUGACAUAAGGAUCGGUCUAAAGACAAAGACAAGGACAAGGAUAAGAAAAAGGAUAAGCAUCAUGAGAAGAAGAGGAAGCAUGAGGGGACAGAGGACUCGGCAGACGUGCAUAAGCACAAAAAAAGCAAGGUGAUAUACAACUAUUAUUUGCUUCUUGGUACAACAAAUUUCCUUGCAGCACAUUUUGUUGGUCUGUUAACAUGACUUAUCUAUGACAACAUAAGAGUUCCAAAACCGAUGAGAUGGGUAAUGGACUUAGUUAGCUACAGUUUUCUUCUUACUUCUACUGUCAAUCAGUGUCAUAUUCUGUUAGAAGGAGGCUCUAAAGGUUUCCGUCACCAGACCCGCUGCAGAUCAAUUGUUUUGGAUCCUACUGAAGCGCGCCGGCGUCGGCAUGAUAUUCGACAUGGGAAGCGUCCUAUUUAUUAACCACGUUCCAUUGGCUGGAGUCAAGGAAAUUCUCAAGCAUAAAACGGCAUCUUCUUACUCGGCGUGCUUUUAAAGGAGAAUUUGGUAUUUAAUUUAUGGAUCUGUAUAGCUACCUGAUCCCGGUAUAUGAAAUUGAGCCUCUUGAGAAAUUACUGAUGUGAUGCUGCAGACAAAAUUGUCCAAUACUUGUGGUAUGAAGGGGACACACGUUACGUCUUCCCAAAUUGUAUAAGGCCUGCUGAUUUAGAACCACCUCCACAUUACUUGUUUAUAAGUGGUGCCAAGGUAUAAAUAAUUUGCAGGACAUAUGGGACACUAGCGAUGGGCUUCUUCUUAUGGUCUAAUUAUUAGUGUAGUGCAUAUUACACUAUUAAUCUGCCCUAUUGUGAUUCACUUGCAUGCAAAAAUCUGCUCCUAAUGAUUUAUUUCAGUACGAAUAGUACCAUGUCCAAGUUAAUGGGUUUAAAGCUAAGUACUAGUAUUGUGGCAGACUUUAAAUGCAUAGUAAUAUUUGGACAACUUUUGUAAAUCAAAGUGAACUAAUUUAAUCAUGAUAGAAAGGUUGGGCUGUUAGACUGAGUGGAGGUUAGUGCCUGGUGGCUUUGAGAAACUAAAUAAUUUACCUACUACCAUCUAUUUUUUUAAUGUUUAUAUAGUAAUUUAUGAAGAACAGUGAUUUCAUAAUGGUGAGAGAAAUGGCAUGGCUAUGUGUCAAUUUUUUUCCAGAUUUGUCACUGAAGCAACCUGGAUAUCAUUUACUUGAGACUUGAGUGCUUGUCAUACUGUAUUAUUGUACUGCAAAUCUCCUAGUUCCUGUAAUCAUUUUUAUCGAGCAGUGUCUUUUUUCAUCUGUACACAUGUUCACUUCUUUCGGAUCUGAUGGAAACAUAGGAUGUUAGUUACUGAAAAGUUAAUCCUUUUUGUUCCUGUGCAUAUUCGACUUGGAUAUUAACAUGGCCCUCAUUUCAAUUCGAUGUACUGGACUUGAAUCAUUUGCAGGUUGAAGUCGAAGCGGCAUGGAUGGCAGCAAUCAACAAGGAAAUUAAACGUGUGUUGAUAGAAGUUCUUCUGAAGGUUACGGAUGAUCUUUUUAAUGAGAUCGCAACCAAAGUUAUGAAUGAAGAUGAUUCAUCAGCUGAACCAAAUGAGACCACUGGUGUCUCUAGCUCAAAGGAGCUUGGUCUGGGAGAAUCAAAAGUGAAGACCACAGCUAAAGUUGUAGUCCUUGCUAAGCCAAACAAUGUUAGCUCUACUGGUCGUUCUGAUGGUACUGGGCUAAGUUCUCCUAAAGGUGUUCUUAUUGGUCUUGCUAGUUAUGAUUCAGAUGACAAGGAUGAUGAGGGUGAUGGUGAUGGUAAGGGUUUAAUUCCAAAUUUAUCAUCUGAAAUUAAAAGUUGGUGCAGCUCAUCCUAAAGAAAGUAAGUCCUUGAAAAACACAAAGCAGACAUUGUUUCCCAGAAUUUAUUUUCUAAAGGAGGAAGAGCCUUAACUUUCUGAGUUUACUUCGGUCUUACAUGUUUUAGCUUUCUAUUUUUGCUCCUAUAUCUAUGUCUGUUUCUUUCCAUUUCUUGUGUGCAUGUGCUCCAUUGUGUUUGUGACUGUCUAUGUGAUGUGCCCCUAUCUAUGUCUGUUUAUUGUGUGCAAGUGCUACAUUGUGUGUGUGAUGUGCCCCUAUCUAUGUCUAUUUCUUGUGUGCAAUGCUACAUUGUGUGUGUGUGUGACUCUGUGUGUGAUGUGCCCCUAUCUACGUCUGUUUCUUUGUCUGUUUCUUGUGUGCAAGCGCUUGAUUGUGUGUGUGCUUGUGUGACUGUGUGUGCUUGUGUGACUGUGUGUAUUGAAUUUCCUUGAUGGUGUGGCAUGUAUGCUUUGCUGAAUGAUUGGUGUUGUAUAACUUGUGGUUUGUAUUGUUGUGGUUUAACACUGCCUUUGCCGGUCCCAAGCCCGAAUGCGAAAAUGUGGAGGGAGCUGCAAUUACCUCCUUUGUAUUAUUUUCCUUAGAAGUGUGGAUAGAAAUUACUAUCCUAAUCGAAUAGCGAAUCUUCACAUAAUGUCGUAGCAUGUGAUUCAAGCUUUGAAAUGCUAUGAAAAAUCUAGCAAGUAUAAUUGUUUUUAGAAUGUGUCCCAUCUCCUAAAUUACUCGCGCUGGUUUCUUAAAUCUUGCUAGCACCGAUGUUCUAUUUUUAUACACUUUUUCUAAAAAUCAGUCAUCUGUUUUUUAUUUGGCUUUUGGUUGAAUUUUGUGGCUAUCUGAUCUUGCAUGAAUCUCAGCGUCACAGGUGUUCCUCAUUUGUCCAUCACUCACGAGUGCGUGUUGUGUUUACUUGUUAUUGAGAUUUUUAUUUGGGUUGUGGGUCGACCUCUUCUUGUUUGGAUGUGGGGGUCUUCUUUGCAGUUAUGUGUCAUUUCUAGAGGGGUUGACCUACCGAGAGAGAGAGUGUGUGUGUGUGAGAGAGAGAGGAGGGCGAGGUGGUCUUCUUUCCAAUGAUGUGUCAUUUCUCUUUCUUCUGGCCAAAGCGAACGACGUGGUGGCCUGGUUGGGCAGCGAAGGAAGCAAACCGCCGAUUAUUUUUUGUCUCAUACACGAAGUGGACAGCGCGAGACAAAUAGUAACACCAAUGCUUACGUGGACACACACAGCAAGCGCCCUUCUAGCGAUGCUUAUUGUGUUUGAUGGAUUGUAUCGGACAUCUAAUCAGUGUUCUUCCAUGUUCGCACCUCCCUGCAUUGCCGCCGCCGCUUCCCUCUCUCACUGCCAGCGUCACCGCAUCUUCCGGGCGACGUUCUCCGCCUUGCAUGAUGGAGCCGAGGAAGGGGCAGCAAGAUACGCAUGUAUCAUUUCUAUUAAGGAUAACAAGAUGAGGGCUAUUCUUACAUUAGUAGAUCUUGUCUACAUCAUAUCACCGUUCUUAUUGCAUUACUUCGUUUCUUCAUGAACUUAAUACACUAGUUAUUUGAUCAUUGCCUUAUAUAUCGUCAUGAUUAUUUGAUCUUCUAUCAAUUGCCUAACAGUAAUUUGUUUACCCACCGUGUGAUAUUUUCUUGAGAAAAGCCACUAGUGAAAUCUAUGGUCCCCGGGUCUAUUUUUCCAUCAUAUACUUUCAGAUCUACAUCAUUAUUUGCCUUUUUCUUUAUUUGCAUCUUUUAUUUCAAAUCUAUAUUAUCAAAAACCAAAAAAUACCUCGCUGAAUUUUAUUUGUCGUUAUUCUAUUUGCAUCUACCAAUCUAUCUAUUUACCAAUCUUUAACCCAAGAAGGAUUGACAACCCCUCUUAUGCAUCGGGUUGCAAGUAUUUGUUCUUUGUGUGCAGAUACCAUUUAUAUAGCUUGGCUUGGUCCUCCUACUGGAUUGAUACCUUGGUUUCAUAACUGAGGGAAAUACUUACCGUAGAUGUGUUGCAUCAUUCCUUCCUCAUUGGGGAAAUACCGACGCAGUUUCUAGCGACAUCAAGCACUGGGUUAAUAGGUUAGUCCCAAAAAUGAUAUAAAAUAAUGUAUAAAUGCAUAUAAAGCAUCCAAGAUUGAUAAUA